GUCAAAUGAUUAUGAAGAUUAAAGUAAACAGCACAGUCAAAAUGCCUCAGACAGAGCAUGGUGCUUGGACUGUGUGGUGUAACUCUCAUCCGUGAUGGGAGCAAGAGCAGUGCUUGUGUCCAUGGCACCCAUUGUGUGAGGCCAUCGUAUGCCAUGAUUCCGAGCCUGGUGCCACAGCAUAAAGGGCAGUCAGGACUGCUGGCUCUGGCUGCAGAAGUGCCCAGCGUGGUUCAGGCUGAAUCCUGCUUUAAGGUUCUUUUAAGGAAAAAGGAACACUAAUAACAUCUUAACCUUCACACCAAAGGAAUUCUCUCUGAAAAAAGAAGUAUAAGGUAAUUUAAAAAUUGUUUUAGAAAGGUUAUUUUGAAAGAAUGCUUUUCCUAUGUCUGGACAUACUACUUGGGACUCUAAAUAAGGUCACAUAACAGUGUAUUUGUUUUGAUUUCCUUAUGGAGGACAACCAGCUCUUGAUUAUUACCUAUGCACUAAGCAGGCUUAUUCCUGUAGUACACUAGCGUUAUGCCUGGUGUAUGUGUUUCCACGAGGAGACUUAUAGUGUGAAAUCUGAAAUACCAUAAAAAUAGGUAAAAUAACAUACAUCAUGUACCUAUCAUCAGCUUUAGAAAUUAUCAUAUGAACAAUAUUGUUUUACAUAUAUUCCCAUCUACUACUACUCAUCCAUAAUUUGUUGAAGCAAAUCUUAGGCAUUGUACUUCAUCUGUAAAUGUAUCUAAAAGAUAAGAAUUCUUGCUUUCUACAAAAGUAUCACAAUACCAUUAUCAUACUUUAAAAUGAUAAUUUCUUGAUAUCAAAUAUCAGACAUUGUUCAAAAUUUUCAUUGUUUAAAUUCUUAACUCUCAGAAUUUCCUUAACAGUUUGUCUAUUUGAAUCAAAAUCUAGGUAAGAUCCAAAUAUUGAGCAUGUUUGAUACAUCCUUUAAGGCCCCUUUAAUCUUCUCACAGUGUUUUCACUUCUUUAAAUUUAUUUGUUGAAUAAACUGGGUAAUUUGUAGAAUUUGCUAUAGACUGGGUUUUGCUGUGUAGUUUAUAAAGCCAGGGAACUGUUCGUGACAUUUUUAUAUAGACUCUCUUACUUUGUUCUUUACAUUUCUACCCUUUUUCAUGGCUUCCCUUAAUAUUAAUUUCACCCAUAUUUUACCUUUAAAAAAAUAUUUAAAUUAUUAGCCUUCAUAGAAUAGCUUGCAUUAAGCCCCACCCCUUUGGAAUGGUCGGCUGAGUCCUAGGCAGGCGUGAGAAUCUCAAGCUGAUCCCAUUGCCUCUCAUCACUCUCAUUCACUUACAGUGUAUAAAAUGAUAUAGAUGCUGUUAAUUAUAGACUGUUUGGCAAUUUAUAUUCAGAGUGGAGAGAGUUCUAGUUAGUUAGAUUUCAGGAUUGUGCCAAAUCUUAUUAGAUUAAUUAAAUAAAUAUUUUAUCGUUAAAAUGAUAAAAAAUACAUGUUCCAUUUGUAUCUGACAUGCUCUGACAAUCUAGGUCAGUCGGUUCAGUAAAUGUGCUAUUGAAAUGUGGCAUGAGGUCCUUGAAUCUUAAGUUUAAAUGGCUGCUGAAUAAAGAUCCUUGAUAUUGUCAUACAGUUUUUAUGUGUUAGGUGGAACCGCAUGAAAUUGCCUAUUUUGUAAGUAAAAAAUGAUUACAUAUUUACAAUUUUAUAUAGUUCGACCUAAUGGACAACUAUAGAACCUCAGAAAAGGAACUUGCAAUACUUGUAACAUGUUCUAAAUCUUCCCUGAAAUCAUAUAUUAAAAGCUUUUUAUUUUUUUAGGAGAAAGAAAUCAGAAGACAACAAGCUGUUCUUCUGAAGCAUCAAGAUGAUCCUUGCCGACAUGGUAACUCGCCUCAGUGAAGAGUUGAGAAAAGGAAAAAUGGAGAAAAACACUUGUGACUUGAAAGAAUUACCACCUUUUACUUAUUCUAAGGAACCGAUAGAGAACCUGGACCUCUACCAGGACAUGACUUUUUCCCGGAUGAUCCUCACUGAUAUGCAUACUCGCCUCAGCGAAGAGUUGAGACAAGGAAAAACGGAGGACAACGAUUAGGGUCACUUGUCAAAACAACCCAGUUGUACCUCUGUUAAGAAACCGAAACAAGAGGAGUCUCUGUACCUGACUAAUUGCCGGUAUUAUUUCUGUUCCCCUGUUCUGUAUGUUCAUAACAUCCCAUUGUAUUUGUUUAGAAACCUUCCACCAUACUAAAGGUGACUUUUUGACCGUUUGUGUAAAUAGGAAUUUUCUUAUGUAAUGUCAACUCUGUACUAUAAGUAAAUGUAUUCUUUCAUCUUUUCCAUGAAUUAAUUUGCAUUGUCUUUACUUGAAAGAGAAUGAAAGCUAAACUUUUUCUAAAGAUGGAUAACUCUGAAGCAUGGAUGUUGAUUUGGAACAUUAUUUUCUCUAGUACCAACCUUAAUGAAAUGGAAACUCAUCUAAGCAAAGACCAGAGAAAAAGAAAAAUAGAGGAAAACACUUCUGGUAACUCGUCAGAACCAAGUUUCACUUGUGUUAAGAAAGUGAAACGAGAUGACUUUAAGGACCUGUGCAGGUAUUAUUUCUGUUCCCCUGUCCUAUAUGUUCAUAACAUCCCACUGUAUUUGUUUAGAAACCUUUCACCAUAUUAAAGGUGACUUUUUGACAGUUUGUGUAAAUAAGAAUUUUCCUAUGUAAUGUAAACUCUGUACUAUAAGUAAAUGUAUUCUUUUGUCUUUUUAUGAAUUAAAUUUGCAUUGUGUUUACUUGAAAGAGAAUAAAAGCUAAACUUUUACUAAAGAGA